rnacentral:lncRNA from 7 species
GAACACUGCUCAUCUCUAGAACCAUCAUUCUUUAGUGCCUGAAAGACAGAUAGUCCUCCCAGUCAAGACACAGUUCCCAAGACAGAAGUGCCUUUACAAGAGAGAUGAAGGAAUGGUACUAGAUAUCAACAUUGUCGGGGUCAGAAGGGGCUCAUAGAUUUUCAUCCCAGAACCAAAAAGCAAGAAGCUGGAAGUGCAGGAAAAGAGCAUGGAAGGAGAUUGACAUCUGUUUUCCCUUCACCGCCCUAAAGCAGCUCAGCAUCUGUUCCUGAGCAGCUGAGGAACCUCUGCUGUGGAGGCAAGAACCUUGGAGAGAAGGGCAGGGCACAUUUCCUGACUAAAGUCAAAGGCACAAGGUGCUGGCCAACACUGAGAUGCCAAACUGGAGGCUGGUGCACCCACCAGAUCUCUAGGAUGUCUCUCGGAGAUUGUGCAGAUCCGAGCAGCAGCACAAAGCAUCGUGAAGUCAAAUGAGUUCUGGCUCAAGAAGAAAAAUGUAGUACUGGAGACUGCAUCUUUAAGUGCUGAAUCACCUCAGAAAGAGCCUGAAGAACAGAUUGCAAGUGCUUGCAUAUAUUGUCAGAUGGAUCUGCUAUAGGCAGGCUUGCUGUCAUGAAGACUGCAGUGUCUUGCUUUCACCACCAGUUUGUUUGUAAUUCUCAGCUGUGCUAAUAUAAGGGGAUUUGGGCCUGAUCAUUUCUACAUUCCAAAUAACCUUUGUGAAUUUCGCUGUGAUUUUUAUAUCGCAUACAUCUAAUUUUUCAAAGUAUCAGAAACUGGCAAUGGAGAACAUUUGGGAGCGAGCCUUGGCAGACUCAGCUGGCAGAGAACUGGCAUUUAACCUUGAAGAAAAGCAUAGGAGAGGAUCUGGUUGAACACUGUAGGAGGUGAGGUCCUGCUGAGACGCAGGACAGCAGCAGAAUUGUGAGACAUGCUGGCUUCUAUCUGGGGCUCCACAAUGUGUGCCUGGUAGCAGAAGGAAGCCUGCUGUCUUGCUGGGCUCGCACUCUCCUGUUCUUCCUCUCAUGAGCAGCUCCGAUGUCUAUAAGGAAAACAUUUGCUCUAGCCCACCAUUUAACAGAGGCACAUCCUCCUCAGAUUUUCUUCUGGCUUCCAGCUUCUUUUAAGGGUUGAAGUGUAGGAGAUAACAAGGAGAAGGCCAUGCAGUCGAAUUCUACUGUCCUAGUCACAGAAAUGGAUAAAACUGAAUUAUUUUAAAUGGCAAAAGACUGAAUGAGUUUAAUGAAAAUUGAUUUUUUUAGCUCAAAUGCAGCAGUGUAUAAAUGUGUGAGCUUGACAGAUCCAUCAUGGCCAAACCUGGCCCUGGGUGCUACAGUCAGUCCUUGAGUUACUUCUGUGCAGCACCACUUCUGUGUCUGGGAAGAGUAGACAUUGGUUUGCUGGGUCUCAUUAGCUCGGACUCAGUAAGGAACUUUCUGGACCCGCUUCAGCCCCACACAAAGCCACCUCCUGAGACUGUGGUCCAUUAAUCAAAGAAGCUGGUAGCUCAUUCAGAGGCAGUGAAGAUGACUGGUCCCCUUUACACCACAUUUGUUGAGGAAUCUCUGCAUAAAUCACAGAAGGACAGCAUCCAGCACAUCUGUCACAUCUUUUCUCAGUAGGAGAAACUCCUUUUCCACAAUGUAGGCCGUGCAUUCCCUCUGUAAUCUUUAUAGAGGGAACUAUUCACACAGCUGGUGUACAGCUGCUACCUAUAAAGAACACACAUCUCAGUGCAAACAAAACAGUAAAUUGUUUAGCUGUAUAAAGUGUCAACCU